UAAUCUGGCAUCACAAUAAAAAGGAAUUUUGCUACCAUGGAGUUCUGAAAAGGCUGGAUUUGGAGAGUUGGGAGAGCUAUCCAAGACCAACAGAAAUGAUCGAGCAAGCUCAGACAUAUUCAUUUGCACCUAGAAGCAGUGGUACCUUCUAGACAGCGUAUUCUCAGAAGAAGAAAAAAAGAAUGCUGGGUAGAACAGAGUGGAAUAAAGUAGACGCUGAAGAAAGGCUGACAAAAAAAUGAAACUCCUGCAGCAUUUCACUCUGGCCAAGCAGAAGAGCAUCAAUUUCUUCCUUCAAAGAGCAUUUACUAAGAAUGUGCUGUUCGGGCGACAGAUGCUGUGAGAGGAACUGAAUCUAAGCACAUAGAUGAAAGUUUAUUCCCCCACACGGUCCAGGCAUUUCUCUGCGUCACCACCAUAUCUCUUUGGUGAUCACUGUUGUUAAAUAACUAAUGAUAUUUAGGGCGCAUCUUCCUGUGAAACCUGUCAAUUACCUUUACAGUGGGCACAAAAGAGAAGAAGAUUGAAGAAAAUAUAGGUCUCAGGUUCUCCCCAGAAAUCUUCUAGAUGUAAUACAAGAAGGGGAGGGAGCAUAAGUGUAUCUUAGUAAUUAGAAUUGGAUGAAUUUGGCAGAUGUGAUGCAGCCUGGCCUCUGAUGAUAUAUUGGUGGAGACAACUUGAGCCUUGAGCCACAUGGUCUUUCAUAUUUGGCUCAGGAUGAGCUGUUUGCUUGUUUCCUUCACAGAGGCACUGUGUUCUGUCAAUAUUGCCGUAUGCCAAAAGCUGUGCUUGACAUUUCUCCCUCGGUGCCACAUUCUCUGACCUUCUGAAUCAAUCUGUGGGUCAGACCCUAACAUUAUUCAUAUUUCACAGAUCAAAUCAAUUACUGAGCUAAGUAAUGUAAAAUAGUUCUGGAGGUCAGAGGUCUGAAAUUCAUCACUGGAUUCAAAUUAAGCUCUCUGUAGCCCUGUUUUGUUUGCUUGUCUUCAGAGACUGUUUGGGACUGUCCUUACUUUUGUGAUGUUAUCAUGACUACCCACAUUUCUUAGCUCAGGGCUCAUUCAUCUCCCUACCUCCAGAUUCAACAGAAUCAAGUUGACUCUCAAUCAUGCUUGUUUCUCUUUCUCCCACGUCCAUCCACUUAGAAGAAUGUCAUGAUUGUGUGGAGCCCAUCUGAAAAGGAACAAUGUCUUCCCUUCUCAACUUCUCAUGAGUAGCCUUAAUUUGGUCUACAUGAAAAUGAACAUAUGCACAGAGAACAUGCUCAUGCUUUUUCAAAGAGUGGAGAUUGGGAUUCGAAACCUUUGCAGGCAUGUGUGCGUGUGUGCGUGCGUGCGUGCGUGCGUGCCUGUUCCUCAUAUUGGAUGGUGAAUAGGCAUGCAGGAGAAGUCACGAUUAAAGUGGCAAAACUGUGUGCAAAUACACAAGCCCCUAGGGGUUCUUACAGGCUGAUCGCUGACAACCAGUGGGGGUGUUGCCAGUUGCAUCCUGGACUCACAAAGCAGACAUGCACUUUGCUAAGAACAGACUCUUGCGUCAUCUAAUGGAUCAAAAUGAAGGAUGGAUGAUUUUUGAGUCAGGAGGGUGAAAGCACCUGAAUGCCCUGUAAGUGCUACCUGCCUUUUACCUCUGCAAAAGCACUGCUUUAUUGGAAAUGAUCAUUUCCUAAAACAAAGCCGGAACAGUAGGAGCUUUGGGUUUUGUACAAAGCUACCCUGAAAGUCAGUCUAGCUCAUCUCCUGCUGGUGAAAUAAAUGCUGGAGAGCCUCCCUUCA
rnacentral:sRNA from 1 species